rnacentral:rRNA from 1 species
UACGAAGGGGGCUAGCGUUGUUCGGAUUUACUGGGCGUAAAGCGCACGUAGGCGGAUCGUUAAGUCGGGGGUGAAAUCCUGGAGCUCAACUCCAGAACUGCCUUCGAUACUGGGAGUCUUGAGUCCGGGAGAGGUGAGUGGAACUGCGAGUGUAGAGGUGAAAUUCGUAGAUAUUCGCAAGAACACCAGUGGCGAAGGCGGCUCACUGGCCCGGUACUGACGCUGAGGUGCGAAAGCGUGGGGAGCAAACAGG